GCUCUCGCAUCGAUGAAGAACGUAGCGAAAUGCGAUACUUGGUGUGAAUUGCAGAAUCCCGUGAACCAUCGAGUCUUUGAACGCAAGUUGCGCCCCAAGCCUUUAGGCCGAGGGCACGCCUGCCUGGGUGUCACAC
rnacentral:rRNA from 1 species